rnacentral:rRNA from 1 species
ACGGGAGGCAGCAGUAGGGAAUAUUGGACAAUGGGCGAAAGCCUGAUCCAGCCAUGCCGCGUGUGUGAAGAAGGCCUUUUGGUUGUAAAGCACUUUAAGCGAGGAGGAGGCUACCGAGAUUAAUACUCUAGGAUAGUGGACGUUACUCGCAGAAUAAGCACCGGCUAACUCUGUGCCAGCAGCCGCGGUAAUA